rnacentral:rRNA from 1 species
UACGUAGGGACCAAGCGUUGUUCGGAUUUACUGGGCGUAAAGGGCGCGUAGGCGGUCAGCACAAGUCAGUUGUGAAAUCUCCGGGCUUAACUCGGAAAGGUCAACUGAUACUGUGCGACUAGAGUGCAGAAGGGGCAAUCGGAAUUCUUGGUGUAGCGGUGAAAUGCGUAGAUAUCAAGAGGAACACCUGAGGUGAAGACGGGUUGCUGGGCUGACACUGACGCUGAGGCGCGAAAGCCAGGGGAGCAAACGGG